GACGAACGCUGGCGGCGUGCUUAACACAUGCAAGUCGAACGGAAAGGCCCCUUCGGGGGUACUCGAGUGGCGAACGGGUGAGUAACACGUGAGUAACCUGCCCUUGACUUCGGGAUAACUUCAGGAAACUGGGGCUAAUACCGGAUAGGAAUCCUUGCUGCAUGGUGGGGGUUGGAAAGCUUCGGCGGUUUUGGAUGGACUCGCGGCUUAUCAGCUUGUUGGUGGGGUAGUGGCUUACCAAGGCUUUGACGGGUAGCCGGCCUGAGAGGGCGACCGGCCACAUUGGGACUGAGAUACGGCCCAGACUCCUACGGGAGGCAGCAGUGGGGAAUAUUGCCCAAUGGGCGGAAGCCUGAUGCAGCAACGCCGCGUGCGGGAUGACGGCCUUCGGGUUGUAAACCGCUUUCAGCAGGGGCGAAGCUUGUGGUGACGGUACCUGCAGAAGAAGCACCGGCUAACUACGUG
rnacentral:rRNA from 1 species